rnacentral:rRNA from 1 species
UGGGGAAUUUUGGACAAUGGGCGCAAGCCUGAUCCAGCCAUGCCGCGUGAGUGAAGAAGGCCUUCGGGUUGUAAAGCUCUUUCAGCCGGAAAGAAAACGCACAGGAUAAUACCUUGUGUGGAUGACGGUACCGGAAGAAGAAGCACCGGCUAACUACGUGCCAGCAGCCGCGGUAAUACGUAGGGUGCGAGCGUUAAUCGGAAUUACUGGGCGUAAAGCGUGCGCAGGCGGUUUUAUAAGCCAGAUGUGAAAUCCCCGGGCUUAACCUGGGAACUGCAUUUGUGACUGUAAGACUAGAGUGCGGCAGAGGGGGGUAGAAUUCCACGUGUAGCAGUGAAAUGCGUAGAUAUGUGGAGGAAUACCGAUGGCGAAGGCAGCCCCCUGGGUCGACACUGACGCUCAUGCACGAAAGCGUGGGGAGCAAACAGGAUUAGAUACCCUGGUAGUCCACGCCCUAAACGAUGUCAACUAGGUGUUGGGGGAGGAGACUUCCUUAGUACCGCAGCUAACGCGUGAAGUUGACCGCCUGGGGAGUACGGCCGCAAGGUUG